GACGAACCGUGCGAACGUUAUUCGGAAUCACUGGGCUUAAAGCGCGUGUAGGCGGGGCGGCACGUCGGUCGCUGAAAGCCCCCGGCUCAACCGGGGAACGGGCGCCGAUACGACCGCCCUGGAGGGACGUAGGGGGGCCUGGAACUUCCGGUGGAGCGGUGAAAUGCGUUGAGAUCGGAAGGAACGCCCGUGGCGAAAGCGAGGCCCUGGACGUCUGCUGACGCUGAGACGCGAAAGCCAGGGGAGCGAACGGG
rnacentral:rRNA from 1 species